GGGGGGAUAGCUCAGGGGUAGAGCACAUGCUUAGCAUGCACAAGGUCCUGAGUUCAAUCCCCAGUACCUCCA
rnacentral:tRNA from 1 species